rnacentral:misc_RNA from 1 species
AACGGUCUAUACCUGCGGUACCUGCGGAGGGAUCAUUACCGAGUUCUCGCCCCUCGCGGGGUAGACCUCCCACCCACUGUGAUCACUACCGUCGUUGCUUUGGCGGGCCGCUGGGCCCAGCCCACCGCCGGCUCCGGCUGGCGCGUGCCCGCCAGAGGCCCUACAAACGCUGGAUAUCAGUGCCGUCUGAGUACACAUGUUAAUCGUUAAAACUUUUAACAAUGGAUCUCUAGAUCGGAA